CACACCGCCCGUCAAGCGAUGGGAGCUGGAGGCACCCGAAGUCGGUGACCUAACCCGCAAGGGGAGGAGCCGCCGAAGGUGAAUCUGGUGACUGGCGCU
rnacentral:rRNA from 1 species